AUUGCUCCUACAGGUAUUGCUGAUGAUGUGGCUGCUGUGUCACAUGUGCAUCAGUAGGUGGCAGAGAGGAGAAAGGCUAUGUCUGUGCUCAGUGUUCUGACCUCUGAACAUCUGAAUGACAGUAUCCUAACAUU